AUUGAUUUGUGGAGAACCUGGAAUAUCAGUUGAAAAGUCUGGACUUCCUACCCCAGUAAUGGAUAUUUCUGGGGGUUUCUGAGUAGUAGACUUGAAAGCAUUUGCAGGCCUUACUCUAAUUCUACAGCUCUUCUGGAUAAAUGUUUGGAAAGCUUGUUACAACACUGAUUGCUGACCCUACACCCCAGACUUUCUGAUUCAGUAGGGGGUCCAAGAAUCUGCAUUUCUAACAGGUUCCCCAGCUGGUGCUGAUGCUGCUGGUCUGCAGACCACACUUUGAGAACCAUGGUUCUGUUGGUUCUCAACUCCGGAUGCCCAUUCAGAUCAUCAGAGGAGCUUUUAAAAAAUCCUGAGGCGUGUGCCCUACUCCAGACCAGAGGAUGAGCUGUUGGUAAUUGUUAAAAGCUCGCAUGUGAUAUCUCAGGUCAGCAAUUCUCAAAUUUGCUUAUGAGUAUGAAUCACUUAGGAAUGUCAGCUGCAGAUCCCUUUUUCCACAGAUCCGGGUUGAGGUUUGAGAUGAUGCAUUUCUCAUGAGCUCCCAGAAGAUGUUAAUGCUGCUGGUCAGUGGACCGCGCUUGGAACAGCUAGCCUCUAGAUUCUUUUUUUUUUUUUUUCUCUCUCUCUUUCUCUUUCUCACUUUUCUCUCUAAGCUUUCAUUCAGGGGUUGAUUCAGUCUGUCUUUUCUGCUCCCAGUGCAGUGGAAUGACAUACCAUUCCGAAACUCUUAUUGGUAUUGUGCCUAAGGAAAAAAACACAGAGGGAUGGGGUGAAGAACUCUGGGUUUGGUCAGCAGCUGAGCCGUCCUGGAGACGAAACCUUGGGCCAGCGCCGGCUUGGUGGCACGAAGCCUGGAGCAGUGCAGGAUGGGUAGGACCCUGCGCUGGACCUGAACUGUCCCUGGAAAAGAUAAGACCAGACCUGAUCCACCUGGCAGGUAUGAAGUGCAAACAAUCAGAGGCAGAAGUGAGACUGAAUAAUUUGGAAUUGAAGGCUGGGCUAAUCCCAUAGCUUAAGAAAAU
rnacentral:lncRNA from 1 species